rnacentral:rRNA from 1 species
CCUACGGGAGGCAGCAGUGAGGAAUAUUGGUCAAUGGCCGUAAGGCUGAACCAGCCAAGUCGCGUGAAGGAAGAAGGAUCUAUGGUUUGUAAACUUCUUUUAUGUGGGAAUAAAGGUAUCCACGUGUGGAUCUUUGCAUGUACCCUAUGAAUAAGCAUCGGCUAACUCCGUGCCAGCAGCCGCGGUAAUACGGAGGAUGCGAGCGUUAUCCGGAUUUAUUGGGUGUAAGGGGUGCGUAGGUUGUUUUUUAAGUCAGCGGUGAAAGUUUGUGGCUCAACCAUAAGAUUGCCGUUGAAACUGGAAGACUUGAGUGUGUGUGGGGUAGGCGGAAUGCGCGGUGUAGCGGUGAAAUGCAUAGAUAUCACGCAGAACACCGAUGGCGAAGGCAGCUUACUAGGCCAUAACUGACACUGAAGCACGAAAGCGAGGGGAGCAAACAGGAUUAGAUACCCGGGUAGUC